rnacentral:tRNA from 1 species
GCCCAGCUGGCUCAGUGGGUACAGCAUGCUACUCUUGAUCUUGGGGGUGUGAGUUUGAGUCUCACAUUGGGCA